rnacentral:sRNA from 1 species
UAGAUAAGAGAUUGUUUUUAUGACGACUAUGACGGUUGUUGGAUUCUCGUCUUGUCAUUCCUAGACGACUAUAGAGUAAUUGCGGAUUCUCAUCCCUUGUCAUUUCUAAUACGUUUGUGCUAUGGCUUUUUAUCGAAAGACUGGAUAGUCCGAAUCUCUCAUGUGUAUAGGGAAGCUAAUCAUCUUGCCGAUGGAUUAACGAACUAUGCUUUCUCUUUACUCCUAUGUUUGCAUUUGUUGGAGUCUAGGCCCGAUGUUGUUAGUUCUAUUUUGUUAGAUGAUGUAGCGGGGGUUUCGUACCCGAGACAUGUCCAAGUGUAAUUUUUUAAUUUUCUUUUAAUAAAACGGGAGACGCAGUCUCCCUCAUUCUACCAAAAAAAAAAUGACGGUUGUUGGAUUAGCUACAUUACUUGAAUCUGGAAAAAAACCCAGUUAUCUACUGCGACAACGUUGGAGCAACAUUUCUUUGCGCUAACCCGGUUUUUCAUUCGCGAAUGAAACACAUUGCCAUCGACUAUCACUUCAUCAGAGGCUACAUUCAAUAAGACAUCUUCCGAGUCGCUCACGUUAACACCAAAUAUCAACUCGGGGACAUUCUCACACAAACCACCAGGACCGAACAGUGCAAGGAGAAACAAUUGAUUGUGACCCCUAAAAAAUUGGAAAUUUUUUCUUUACAAAAAGGGUCCCCAAUUAUUUAUUUCUUUUAAAUUGGCCCUCAAUUUUUUUUUCCCUUAAAAAAUUUUUACGCCCCCAAAAAUUCAGGGCGGGCCCUACAAACCACUCACAAGGACAAGAUUUGUUGAACUAAAGAA